UACGUAGGGACCGAGCGUUGUCCGGAUUCAUUGGGCGUAAAGAGCUCGUAGGCGGCUGCUCAAGUCGAAUGUGAAAACUCGAGGCUCAACCUCGAGCCUGCAUUCGAUACUGGGCGGCUAGAGUCUGGUAGGGGGAUCGUGGAAUUCCUGGUGUAGCGGUGGAAUGCGCAGAUAUCAGGAAGAACACCCGUGGCGAAGGCGGUUCUCUGGGACGGUACUGACGCUGAGACGCGAAAGCGUGGGGGAGCGAACAGG
rnacentral:rRNA from 1 species